UAGCACUCAAACUCAGUAAUUAUCUUGCCUCUUGGUGAAAUAGCAACUCAGAGUUUCCUGGCCUGCCUUUUGUGGCAGAGGUUGUCUGGCUUUUGGUCAAAUACUUUCCUCUCUGACACCUGUUUACGAGGCAUUUCUCCUUGAACAGAGCACAUGACUUCAAUCCUUCCUCGUUCACAGGCAUGACUAGACAUGAAGAUAAGCUGCCCACUCAGCUUUUGUCACUGGUUCCCUAAAGAUGCCAUACCCCACUCCCAGGCAACAGGAAGCAAUCUCGAGAAUACAAUACCCACAUUCUCAAGAGUGAGAUAUGUCUGCUCCUGACAGCACCAAUCUACUUCAUAAAAGGAUGAUGGGCAUUGAAGAAUUUCCAUAUGAAGUUUAUUUUCAAUGUGGCAAGCUAGCCAUUUGGGCAAGAAACCAUCCUUGUGUUGACUGCUGACAAUAUGGUAUCCAAAUUGACCAUGCAGUACAGAAAGGAAAGCAACUGCUCAACUUUGCCAAAACCAUGUGGGACAAUCCUUCAAAAUUCCUGCUUCAUGGAAAAGUCUGCCAGAUAUUCU
rnacentral:lncRNA from 1 species